AUCACAGAAAACAUCAACGGUGAUAUCUGUACAUCGGACUACAACAAACGAGCCGUAGUGGUCGUCAAUAAAUACGGACGGUACAGGUUCUCCUUCACAGGCCAUGAUCAGGAGUCAGUGUUUCGUCCCUCUGGUAUCUGUACUGAUAUCCUUGGUCGUAUCAUUGUCUGUUCUACCAAAGUUGUCGACAUCCUCGAUGGGAACGGCCAGUGGCUAUGCGCACUAAAAGGGGAAAAAUAUUUUCCUCGUAUUGCACUAGAAGAAAAAAACCCCUCUCCAUGUAGUGUGUGUGUGGAUGAUGAGAACAAUCUCCACGUGGGACUAUGUGAGACCAACAAUGUUGUGGUGUUCAAAUAUCUACAGUAAAGCCUUCUCCAUUUCGACCGUGUCAGAAGUUUAUAAUGUACAUAUCGUGACACACAGGUUUUAGAAAGAAACGAAAAUGAGAUUGUGAUUAAUGAAAUAACACAUUAUAUCAAGAGUGAAUAUUUUCAUCAAAUUAUGUAUUUGAUCAGUUUAUGUUGUUUUUUAAUCGAAAUUUUGAAAAAAAAACAUCUUUAUCAAUCAAUAUAAAAUUCAAACAAUAAAAUUCAAACU
rnacentral:sRNA from 1 species